rnacentral:lncRNA from 1 species
AGCCGCUGCAAAUCUUAUCCUUCCUCCCUCCAGGUUUUCUUCAGUGUCGAAAUUGGUAUGGAGACGUGGAUGGAGAUUUGAGUCUUAGGAAUUUGGGAAGAGCUCAAGUGAUUCAGAAUGAAAAGACCUUGGCACAGACCUGUUAAGGAAGCUCCAUAUAAGGUGAAGAAAACAACAUGCUCAGCCAUGUCCUUGCCUUCUGCACACGGUAGUGCAUUCACUGCCUGAGAAUUCAAGGCUAAAACAAAAAGAGGAGCUUUUGUUCCAACAGAUAAGUACUUACCUUUUUCAAAAAAUGCAUAAGCUGUCCUGGGUGUUUAGCAGUUAUUCGCACAGCUUUCCAAAGACUCACAGCAUUUAAAAGCUAACUCUACAGAGAUUCAACAGCUUCUUCCAGAUCCCACCACAGUGGAAAAGAACUCCGGUGUCCUGGCUCCCUGUCCAGCUCUUCUCUCUCCCCUUCCAGCUGCCAGUUCAGCUUUAAGAAGUUCAUUCUCCACAUUCAGAUGCAGGCAAAUGCGUUUGACUUGAGCAUAUUGAUUUCAGGCAGGUGAGAGUGGAUGUAGCGAUUCAGC